rnacentral:lncRNA from 1 species
AUGCUCAUAACUCCACCAUGUAUCUGAGAAAGCAAAAAAGAAUACACAAUCAAUAACCACAUGUGAAAAAUAAUAAACUAAAAUUCAAGUAUAAGUUCACAAUGAUAUUUCGCUUAAUUUGGUCCAAAUCUCUAAAUAAUCUACGUAAUAUAAAUGAGAAUACAUACCAACGAGUAUUUGUACCACCAGUUGAAUACAUGGCCCCAUCAUGAUGGAUAGAUGACUUGUGUGUUUGAGUCUUUUUCUUUAAGAACUCUGU